UAUGACGGCAGAGGGCGGGACGUUUUUAAAUUCGUGCGGCUCGACUGUCACCCCACAAUGUUUUUUUUUUUUUUUUAUGUUUACGAAUGAACUCACGAAGAGCACAUUUUGAUUUAAGAAGCUAACUUUAUAUGUUGAAUUUCUCUGUGUUUCACUGUGCACGUCCUAUUGAAUUUCUCUGUGUUUCACUGUGCACGUCCUAUUGAAUUUCUCUGUGUUUCACUGUGCACGUCCUAUUGAAUUUCUCUGUGUUUCACUGUGCGCGUCCAGCGAUGCUCCACAUCUGACUCAACUGAGAGGAGAAGACCAUGGCUGCGUCACCGGUGCAAUGUGACGGGGAACAAACAUCUCCAAAGUUUUCUUUGACGUGGUGCCUGGCUCACCUAUCACCUGGACCAGCGGAUGAACAUCAGGAGGAGGACUCCGGCGCAGAAGGGAGACAAGAGGUACACAGCAAAAGUGUUGGGUUUUCAGUGUUAGGGUUUAGUGUUAAAAUAUAGAGUUAUUUAAACUCAGGAUUAGUGUUAAUCAACUCCAAGAGAGUUAUUGUAAAAAAAAUAGUUAAUUGUGUCAACCUACACUUUAUAACAGUGGAGCUAUUGAAUAAUGUUUCCAUAAAAUAUCUUUAACAAUUCAUAAAUAUUAUUCAAAAUACAUUUUAUUCAAAGUUGCAGCUGUAGUACAACAAGGAGGAGCCCCUUGAUAUAUGGUAUUCAUUUUGUCAGCCUACACUUUAUAACAGUGGAGCUAUUGAAUGUUUACAUAAAAUAUCUUUAAAAAAUCAUUAAAAUUAUUCCAAAUACAUUUUAUUCAAAAUUACAACUGUAGUACAACAAGGAGGAGCCCCUUGAUGUAUGGUAUUCAUUUUGGCAGCCUACUCUUUAUUACCAUGGAGCUAUUGAAUGUUUCAAUAAAAUAUCUUUAACAAAUCAUAAUAAUUAUUCAAACUACAUUUUCUUCAAAGUUACAGCUGUAGUACAACAAGGAGGAGCCCCUUGAUAUAUGGUAUUAAUUUUGUCAGACUCCACUUUAUUACAGUGGAGCUAUUGAAUAUUUUUUGAGUAUGUAUUUUCCGGAUUGCACUUUGUAGAUGGUCCCUGUGCUCACGUCUCCCAGCUGGCGGCACAUUGAGACCAAUGUUAUUCGUCCAGCUCGGAGACCGACCCGUUUUGGAAAAAUUAAGGUUGUAGCUUGUUGUCGACAUCACUACGGUCACAGAGAGAUCUCGUUAGUCUUUUAACUCCAUUUUGCAAAAGAGCUAUUGAGCCGGGAAGUUCGAAUCUGUGAAUCUCUUUCCAACUUAACCGAACUAACCCAGUUGACCUCGGAGUCCCGAUGGAGCUUCAAACGAUCUCACUUCUGACACCAAGUUGUGGUGGAAGAUUUCUAUGUUUGUUCAGGAGGAGAGUUUAUGGUUCCAGCAGCUCUGCAAGGCCAUGAGGAGCCUUGUGCAAUUGCCUAUGAAGAGAAGGCAAACCAUUUGCCAGGGGAAAAGUUGAACAUUGGGUUCACAACCAGGGCUAAACUCACCAGAUAUCUUGAUGAGGGUGACAUCACACCACGGCAGGUGGAGUCAUUCCAUGAAGCUGUGUUAAGUUUCUUAACAAGUGCUGUGGGCUAUGCACUUAGGAAGCUGCCACUGGAAGAGCCACUGAUCAAACACUCACAAUUUGUAGAUGUGCGGCAGAGGGCUAAAAGUGGCAUUGAAGAUGUCCUUUACUUUGUUGAAAGGUUCCCCCAUCUCUUCCCAUACCAUGGGCCAGAGGAGCAUAACCACCUGGGUGAGGAGUUUUUAAAUUAUCAGACGAUGCCAACAACCUCCCUUCAGGACUAAACAGAUAUGGACAACUUCUGGGCUGGAAUGGCAACAAGGAAACAUAAGGUGACAGGAGCCAAAGAAUUUCAGAGGCUUGCUGCCGUUGCCAAGCUGGUCCUGGUGUUGCCUCAUUCAAAUGCAGAUGCUGAGAGGGUGUUUUCAUUUGUGGGACUAAAUAAAACAAAGACCAGAAAUAGCCUGGCAUUGGAUGGCACCCUGUCCUCCAUCAUGGCCAUAAAGAUGGCCGACCUGGAGCCCUGCUUCAGAUGGGAGCCCCCCUCAGCGGUCAUCAAGGCCUCCAAGAAGGCCACAGACCAGUACAACCUUGCCCACAAAUCGUAAAAAAUUCUGAUACCUCAUUUUUUGUUAUUUUAUUUAUGUGUUGAACCAUUGUUUUGGUUAAAAAGGCUACUGUUUAAGCACUUUAUUUGUUGCACUUUUUUGUUUCAUAAUGAAAAAUAUUUCUCCCUAACUA